GGCAAUAGCAGGGAUCUUUGUGGUAAUGGAAUGCUCAGCAUCUUAACUAUGUCAUUAUCCUGGUUGUGCUAUUUUACUGCAGUUUAUGUUUUGUUUUCAACAGCUUUAUUGAGAUAAAAUUUAUAUACCAUACAAUCCACCCAUUUAAAGUAUACAGUUCCAUAGACAUACACAGAUAAGUGCAGUCAUCACCACAGUCAAUUUUAGAACAUUUCCAUCACUUCAAAAAGAGGCCUUGUACCCUUUAGUUAAGGGUAACUCCCCUAUCCUUCCAUUCCCCUCACUCCAGCCCUAAAUAACCACUUUCUUUCGUUACAGGUUUCCCUAUUCAAGAUGCUUAUAUGAAUGGAAUCGUAUAACAUGUGGCCUUUUGUGUCCCACUUUUUUCACUUUACAUGAGGAUUUCAAGGUUCAUCCAAAUUGUAGCAGGGACCUUAUUGGAACUUCCUAUGAUUACACCCAAUGCUUGUGUGAGAAUUUCCAGAAGCCUCAAUCCUGCUGUCAUCCUUAUUAAAGAAUCACUUGGAGAGAAGAUGCCUUUGGAGAACUUUAAUCCCCUUCUUUCUUCACUUACCACCUCAUAUAAAGAUAGGAUUGACAGUCAA